rnacentral:rRNA from 1 species
UCUGGGAUUAGAUACCCUGUUAUUUAAAAUGUAAAUAAAAAUACUUGAGUAUUAAUAGUUAUGGUCUUUAAACUUAAAAAAUUUGGCGGUAUUUUAGUCUAUUCAGAGGAACCUGUUUUAUAAUCGAUAAUCCACGAUGUACCUCACUUAAAUUUGUUAAUCAGUUUAUAUACCGUCGUUAUAGAAUAUUUUAUAAGAAAAAUAAUUUUCAAUAAUUAAAAUAAAUAAUAGAUAUCAGAUCAAGGUGUAGCUUAUAUUUAAGUAAUAAUGGGUUACAAUAAAAGUAUUUUUGGAUAUAAAAAUGAAAAAUUUAUUGAAAUUGGAUUUGAUAGUAAAAUUAAAUAGAUAAUUAAUUUGAUUAUAGCUCUAAAAUGUGUACAAAUCGCCCGUCACUCUCUGA